rnacentral:rRNA from 1 species
GGGUUGUGAGGUUAAGCGACUAAGCGUACACGGUGGAUGCCCUGGCAGUCAGAGGCGAUGAAGGACGUGCUAAUCUGCGAUAAGCGUCGGUAAGGUGAUAUGAACCGUUAUAACCGGCGAUUUCCGAAUGGGGAAACCCAGUGUGAUUCGUCACACUAUCAUUAACUGAAUCCAUAGGUUAAUGAGGCGAACCGGGGGAACUGAAACAUCUAAGUACCCCGAGGAAAAGAAAUCAACCGAGAUUCCCCCAGUAGCGGCGAGCGAACGGGGAGCAGCCCAGAGCCUGAAUCAGUGUGUGUGUUAGUGGAAGCGUCUGGAAAGGCGUGCGAUACAGGGUGACAGCCCCGUACACAAAAAUGCACAUAUUGUGAGCUCGAUGAGUAGGGCGGGACACGUGGUAUCCUGUCUGAAUAUGGGGGGACCAUCCUCCAAGGCUAAAUACUCCUGACUGACCGAUAGUGAACCAGUACCGUGAGGGAAAGGCGAAAAGAACCCCGGCGAGGGGAGUGAAAAAGAACCUGAAACCGUGUACGUACAAGCAGUGGGAGCACGCUUAGGCGUGUGACUGCGUACCUUUUGUAUAAUGGGUCAGCGACUUAUAUUCUGUAGCAAGGUUAACCGAAUAGGGGAGCCGAAGGGAAACCGAGUCUUAACUGGGCGUUAAGUUGCAGGGUAUAGACCCGAAACCCGGUGAUCUAGCCAUGGGCAGGUUGAAGGUUGGGUAACACUAACUGGAGGACCGAACCGACUAAUGUUGAAAAAUUAGCGGAUGACUUGUGGCUGGGGGUGAAAGGCCAAUCAAACCGGGAGAUAGCUGGUUCUCCCCGAAAGCUAUUUAGGUAGCGCCUCGUGAAUUCAUCUCCGGGGGUAGAGCACUGUUUCGGCAAGGGGGUCAUCCCGACUUACCAACCCGAUGCAAACUGCGAAUACCGGAGAAUGUUAUCACGGGAGACACACGGCGGGUGCUAACGUCCGUCGUGAAGAGGGAAACAACCCAGACCGCCAGCUAAGGUCCCAAAGUCAUGGUUAAGUGGGAAACGAUGUGGGAAGGCCCAGACAGCCAGGAUGUUGGCUUAGAAGCAGCCAUCAUUUAAAGAAAGCGUAAUAGCUCACUGGUCGAGUCGGCCUGCGCGGAAGAUGUAACGGGGCUAAACCAUGCACCGAAGCUGCGGCAGCGACACUAUGUGUUGUUGGGUAGGGGAGCGUUCUGUAAGCCUGUGAAGGUGUACUGUGAGGUAUGCUGGAGGUAUCAGAAGUGCGAAUGCUGACAUAAGUAACGAUAAAGCGGGUGAAAAGCCCGCUCGCCGGAAGACCAAGGGUUCCUGUCCAACGUUAAUCGGGGCAGGGUGAGUCGACUCCUAAGGCGAGGCCGAAAGGCGUAGUCGAUGGGAAACAGGUUAAUAUUCCUGUACUUGGUGUUACUGCGAAGGGGGGACGGAGAAGGCUAUGUUGGCCGGGCGACGGUUGUCCCGGUUUAAGCGUGUAGGCUGGUUUUCCAGGCAAAUCCGGAAAACUAAGGCUGAGGCGUGAUGACGAGGCACUACGGUGCUGAAGCAACAAAUGCCCUGCUUCCAGGAAAAGCCUCUAAGCAUCAGGUAACAUCAAAUCGUACCCCAAACCGACACAGGUGGUCAGGUAGAGAAUACCAAGGCGCUUGAGAGAACUCGGGUGAAGGAACUAGGCAAAAUGGUGCCGUAACUUCGGGAGAAGGCACGCUGAUAUGUAGGUGAAGUCCCUCGCGGAUGGAGCUGAAAUCAGUCGAAGAUACCAGCUGGCUGCAACUGUUUAUUAAAAACACAGCACUGUGCAAACACGAAAGUGGACGUAUACGGUGUGACGCCUGCCCGGUGCCGGAAGGUUAAUUGAUGGGGUCAGCGCAAGCGAAGCUCUUGAUCGAAGCCCCGGUAAACGGCGGCCGUAACUAUAACGGUCCUAAGGUAGCGAAAUUCCUUGUCGGGUAAGUUCCGACCUGCACGAAUGGCGUAAUGAUGGCCAGGCUGUCUCCACCCGAGACUCAGUGAAAUUGAACUCGCUGUGAAGAUGCAGUGUACCCGCGGCAAGACGGAAAGACCCCGUGAACCUUUACUAUAGCUUGACACUGAACAUUGAGCCUUGAUGUGUAGGAUAGGUGGGAGGCUUUGAAGUGUGGACGCCAGUCUGCAUGGAGCCGACCUUGAAAUACCACCCUUUAAUGUUUGAUGUUCUAACGUUGACCCGUAAUCCGGGUUGCGGACAGUGUCUGGUGGGUAGUUUGACUGGGGCGGUCUCCUCCUAAAGAGUAACGGAGGAGCACGAAGGUUGGCUAAUCCUGGUCGGACAUCAGGAGGUUAGUGCAAUGGCAUAAGCCAGCUUGACUGCGAGCGUGACGGCGCGAGCAGGUGCGAAAGCAGGUCAUAGUGAUCCGGUGGUUCUGAAUGGAAGGGCCAUCGCUCAACGGAUAAAAGGUACUCCGGGGAUAACAGGCUGAUACCGCCCAAGAGUUCAUAUCGACGGCGGUGUUUGGCACCUCGAUGUCGGCUCAUCACAUCCUGGGGCUGAAGUAGGUCCCAAGGGUAUGGCUGUUCGCCAUUUAAAGUGGUACGCGAGCUGGGUUUAGAACGUCGUGAGACAGUUCGGUCCCUAUCUGCCGUGGGCGCUGGAGAACUGAGGGGGGCUGCUCCUAGUACGAGAGGACCGGAGUGGACGCAUCACUGGUGUUCGGGUUGUCAUGCCAAUGGCACUGCCCGGUAGCUAAAUGCGGAAGAGAUAAGUGCUGAAAGCAUCUAAGCACGAAACUUGCCCCGAGAUGAGUUCUCCCUGACUCCUUGAGAGUCCUGAAGGAACGUU